UGCUUCAGUGUUUGAAACUGACAAGGCGCUGUGACGUGUAGUGUACUUGACACCAAAGGAUCUACCCGUUUGUUGAUGUUCCCCCUUCAGCUGUCCACAAACUGAAGAGCUUGAAUGUGUGUGUGAGGUCAAGGGAGUAUCAAACCAGUGUGUGUGAUCAUGAGUGACGUAUUUGGGGUUUGUUGUAUUUUCCAGUGAAACAAAAAAAGAAAAAUCACAUUUUAUUUUCAAGUGUACUUAAACACAUGUGUGGGGAAAAAACAAUAAGAAUACAGCAAUGCAAAAACAUUGUGACUAUUUGUGUGUAUAUAUAUAUAUAUCAAAUAAUGAAGUAGAAUAUUCUUACUAUUAAUACCAAUCCUUCUUAUGCUGACACUGACAGCUAGAGUUAUAAUUAUGAUGGUAAUUUUGAUGUAGUUUGAGGGUUCAGCACAAUUAUUUAGAUUUUUGUCUGUUUGAUAUGGGAAGCCACGACACAUUCUUGUUUGCUCUUUGUCCUUGAGUGGAUUCAAACUAAUGGAAAUGUUAUAUAUAUGUAUAUCUAUCCCAUCAUCCUCCUGUUCCGUUAAAACAGCAGUUUUAAUGUGAAUGCACAGUUUUACUGCUGUUUGUUAUAACUGCAGAAUCUCUUUUCUUGGUUUGCAGUCUUUUAUUUGUACAACUGUUGAACUUGUUCUUUCUUCUUCAUUUGAUUUCUUUAAGUUGGUUGGCGUUCUUCUUUUUGUUUUAUCCUGUUGGUGUUGUCCCUGGUCUCUGAUCAUUGUGUUACAGCACAGAAUUGCUCUUGACUGUCGUCAUGGUGCAGAUGGUAGUGUAAUAAAAGCUGGUUUGAAAAGGAAA